UUUUCAUAUUGUCUUGUAUUUAAGGAGCUUUUUCUGAUGGCUUAGGGUUUUCCUAAGUCAGUGGAAACUGCCAUGUUGCAUUAAUCCUUGGCUAGGGUGCUCUCCAGAAGCAUGGUAACCUUGCUUUCCACUGAGAUUCUGGUCCCUUCAUAGCUUCUCCUUUUCUCUGCUCUUGCUGUAACGGAUUGCAGGAGGACCUGCUUAAGUUUUAAGCUUGCAAAGAGCCCCACUGAAGUCAAAUUUAAGUUAGGCACAUGCUUAAGUGCAUUGUUGGACCAGAGCCAGCACGCUCAGCCUCUGCUAGGAAAGAGACCUUUUUAGUCUUUCUUGAGCACCUUCUUUCUAGUCCUCCCUUCUUGGGGCUACGUCGUUGGUGCUUGUGCCUUUGCAUUUUCCCUGCUGUCUCCCACAUUUGUUGUAACAAAAAAGCAGAGAGCGGAAGAUGAUGUGGAAGAUAAGGAGAUAAGCUACACUCUCAUCAUUUUAUAUCUCUCCAGCAUCUUGUCGCCUUUUUCAUCUUUAUCUCCUUCUCAAUAAAGCCUACAAAGGGUUCUCAGAAAUGUGGGUCCUGUCCUAAUUUUCUGACUUUCAAGCCAGGUUGUUGGUGGCUUUGCCCUGACAAGUCUAGAAAGCCCUGUGGUACCUUGGUGGGUAAUAGCAGUGGAGAAAAUGUCAGUGGUCUGUCUGAAAAAUCUCUUCCCCCUCUCUGUUGCUCAACAUCUAUUCUUUAUGUUGUCUUAAGCUCUCCACUCACCCAAGAGUGUUUCAGGAUAGCCAAGGCUGAAGUUUCUUUUGGAAAAACAAAUCAAGCAGGAGUUUUUGAGAGAAAAGGGAAGCAAACUUUUGAGCCAUCUUCCUCAGAAAUUUUGAGUCUUUUUUCACUCUUCCUAUUGAGCUGCUUUAAACCCUCUUGUUUGUAAUUGUCCUGGUAGUGGUCUCCAGAUCUCCAGAGAACAGGAUUUUUGUUUGCCUGGUAGUGGAGGCUUUCUAGGGCAGAUAAUGUGCUUAUUUGUUGGUAGUAAGUGCAGGCAGAAGGAGGAGAGCAGAGGGGAGGCUGGUGGGCUGGUGGCACCGAUCCCACACACGCAGACUGGGGCAGUGUAAUGUGGAGAUGUAGGUUUUGUGAGCUGGCAAACAGCUGCUCUCUCUCCUCUCAAGGAGGGGGAGCAGAUGCAGUCACACACCUUCAGGAGUAUCCUGGAAACUGGAAGCAGUCUCUAAUUCCAGCUUUUUGCAAUCACUGAGGCUGGGAUGCUGUGUGAGUGGGGCUGGGAUGCACACCGGCUGUGCGUGUCAUCCCGAAGCAGCACUUGAGAGACAGCCGUAGCAGAACAGAGAUCUCAGUAAGGUAUCUGCCAAACUUCCGUCCCUCCAAAGAGACCUCUUAAAUCCCUGGGCUACCAGAUUAGAUGCUGGCCAAGGUUAGCAGCCAGAUGUUUCUCAGCUGUUUGGACUGGUUUCCAGCUGAGCCCAAAUGAGUGGCUAUCCAACAUGUAAGUAUUAAUAUAAACAUUUCAGAGGCCUUGCCUUGAGUGAGCCAUUAAAAACUUCCCACGAUGCUGGGAGCGCUGCUGGCUUCCUUGGAGAGCAGCAGUGUGUUGUGUAUCGCGCUUGCAUAUCCUGAGCGGGUCAGGCGCGGGCUGCCACCUGCUCCUGCAGCGCUGGGGCCAGGCCUCCCCCUUGGUCGAGUGGCGCCAGAGCCGUGUGGUCCCUGGAAUUUGAUUAUUUGUGUUAGCAGAUAAUUUAGGCCAGAAGGCUGAGAGUGUUCCCGUCCUUCCCUGGAUGUCGUCAUGCUUCCCAGCAAAACACAGUCCUGGGCCCUGGGUCUCUUCCCCUCCCCUCGCUCCACAAGUACCACUGAAGUGUUUUCCAUGUCUUCUGGAGGGUCACUGUCCACUCGUUUUAGGCUUGGUUUUGGCUUGUGCAGGCCUGCCAGAAGGGGAGGAUUUCAUUAAAUCCAGCAUGUAGAGCCAUGUUUUUAAUUAUUACUUGUAUUAAAAAAACAGAAUGAGGUUUUGAUGUGUGGUUCUUCUGAACUGUGCCUAAUGCCACCCAGGAGCUGUAGUCUUCGAACAUGAGCGAUGAGAAGUGACCCUCUCUGCUCUCCCACUGGUGUGAAACAAGACCCUUCUAAUUCUCUCUGUCAUUUUCAUCAGGUUUUAAUGCCUUGCUUCUCCAAGGCCUGGCCUGUGCUAUCCCUGAACUGAGUGGGACUUUACACCAAAGCCAGGUCCUGCUGGAGCUGCAGGAUGUUUAUGUGCAGAGAGAGUUUGCACUGCAGGGAUAGUGGCUGCAGUGGUGCAGCAGUUGACCUUGGUCCCCUCGCUUUUAAGUUGCUGUAUCACAACCUCUGAAGACAUCAUGGCUCUGCCUGGGCUACUCCUUGGUGUGAGUCACAGCAGCACAGGGAGGGUGUGCAUGGCAGGGGUGUGUGUUGUGCUCACCUGUCUUGGGGUGGCUUCAAUUCCCUGAACAGGCCUUGCUCUUGAUCAUCUCUUCUGAGAUCACUGCCAGAGCUGCUCAGAGUGAGAUGCAGUGGAGGAGUUCACAGAAUGUAUUUGGUUGGAAGAGACCUUCAAGAUCAUCCAGCCCAGCCUUGGGCCCAGUUCACUUUAUGGAGGCAUUUUUUUUCCUUAGGAACAAUUUGGAAUCAUAGGUGUUAAGGGCAUGGGCAAAAAGAGGAUGAUUAACAAAAACAGUUCAGGUAUUUAGGCUGGAAGAGUUGGUGUAACAUGGAGCUUCAUCCAGCACCUGGCAGCUUCAGUGGAGAGAGUCAAUGUGCCCAAACACUUGCUGAAAUAUGAACCCCCAAAACAGCUUAUUUAUAGCUCUGGUUGAAAAACCCAAAAAUAUCACCAUGGGAGAUGUUUGCUGCAUUGGGCACUGAGCAGGAGCUCCUCAAAUUGAGGGCUAUAAUUUUGCUUACUGACAGCCAAAACACCUAAACCUGAGAAGCUCAGGGCAGCCUUGGCUUCUCGCUUGUCAAAACCCUCCCUGCUACUGCGGAGCCAUGGGGGAGAAGGGCUCGUAAUGAAGAGAGUUCCCCUCAGGAAGGCAGCAUUCCUAUCACGAGUGUGUUCCCCUUGGGAAUGCAGUGUUUCCCUCAGGAAGGCAGCAUUCCCAACAGGCAGGCAGUGUUUCCCUCAGGAACAUUCCCAUCAGCUGCUCUCUUCAGUGCCUUGGGCUCUUGCCUGGGGAGGCACCAUCCUGCCUCUCUGCCAGGAUUCAUGUUGCUUGCACAGUCUGUCUGUGAUCCAGAAGCUGAAUCCAUCCUUCUGACAGCCUCAUGACAUUCCUACCUGGAUAUAUAAUUGCCUAUAAUAAUAAUAAUAAGUUUGGGAAAUCAGGCUUUUGAGCCAGCUUCUCAGAAGGUGGUGUCCGAUCGGUUCCUGCACUGUGGUUUAGAUUAAUUAUCUCUCUUUGCAAGCAAUGGAAUUUUGUAAGGCACAAAUGUGCUGUGUAACCCAUAAUUUUUCAGGGUUUGGGCUGGAAUGACUCUGAUAAGCCCCACGUAUGGCUUCUAUUGUACGAUCCACAGUCAUGCUGCUCCUAGGUGAAAUCCAAGCCCAGAGACUGCUAUUUCUACCCUGGCCUUUUCAUGUUGUUUUUUCCCCCCUCUCUGCUCUCACAUUGCUCAUGACCUGCCCAUGAGCCAGCUCCUUUCUGUGCCUUGUGUUUCAGAGGGUUUACAGGCUGCCCAGAAAAGUCCUGGGCUCUGGGCAUGAUCCUGGGCUCUAGGUGAAGCUGCUUUAGCAGGGAGUCUGGAGGAGAUGAUCUCCAGAUGUCCCUUCCAACCUCUACCAUUCUGUGAUUCUGAUUCUGUGAGACAUGUACAACCCCAAGCUGGGCAGUGUCAUGGGGUCAGGGACAUGAGGAUUGUGCUGGCACUCAGCAGAGGUCUGGGUGGACAGGAGGAUUUUUGCCACAAGAGGUUGUCUUGUCCUUCAGCUGGGGAUACCCCAUAUAAUUUCUUGUGCAGCAGUUCACCCCAAGCACAGACUGGACCCAGUGGUGCUCAGACUAAGGGUGAACUGCGUGAGUUCAUUCAGCACUCGUGACCUGGCACCGCUCUGGGCUGUGCUGCACUGGCAGCUGUGUGGGCUCUGCCCAGCUGUGGUGGGUGCCUGCUGCUCAGCACUGCUGGCUGUGAGACACCGCACAUGCACCCCUUGGAGGGAGCAGACGUGUGCUGGCACUAAUCCCACUCAGAGUCCAGCAGUGGUCCAGGAUCUGAGGCUGAGAGUUGGAUCCAUUUGUCUUUCCAUUCCAUGCCGCUCAGCACCCCUGGCUGGGAAAAGGAUGAAGUUUGGUUGAAGAGAAAAACGAGAAGUUAUUUUCCCUGUCUCUAGCACAGACAACAUUCCUGCGAGGGGGAAUUGUCAGCCCUGGAUGCUGGAAUGGGUGUUUUCAAUCCUGCCAUUUCCCUGUAUUUCUUGCUCAUUUUUUACCUGUUUGGAUUUAUUUUUAAUGGCCCUGACACCCUUGUUUGUAACAAUAAACAGCCAACGUGUGGACACAA